AAUUAUCAACUCUGAAAACUUUCGAGUUCUCAGUGCUUGGACUUGGAGUGUGUCGGGCCCUUUCUCGGGUUCGACUCCUCUUGAAAUGUAUAUGCGGAACCCUUUGAUCGCAGAGCAGCUCCAGCGUGAUAAUUAUCUACGUUGCGGCAGCUGUGUGAUUGGAUCUGCCUACAACCGUUGCAGACUUUUGCAACAGGGGCUCGCCCCUAACUUUGACA
rnacentral:misc_RNA from 1 species